UACGGGGGGAGCAAGCGUUGUUCGGAUUUACUGGGCGUAAAGGGCGCGUAGGCGGCCAGCACAAGUCGGUUGUGAAAUCUCCGGGCUUAACCCGGAAAGGUCAGCCGAUACUGCGGGGCUAGAGUGCAGAAGGGGCAACUGGAAUUCUCGGUGUAGCGGUGAAAUGCGUAGAUAUCGAGAGGAACACCUGCGGCGAAGGCGGGUUGCUGGGCUGACACUGACGCUGAUGUGCGAAAGCUAGGGGAGCGAACGGG
rnacentral:rRNA from 1 species